rnacentral:rRNA from 1 species
UACGUAGGGUGCAAGCGUUGUCCGGAAUUAUUGGGCGUAAAGAGCUUGUAGGCGGUUUGUCGCGUCUGCUGUGAAAUUUCGGGGCUCAACCCCGAACUUGCAGUGGGUACGGGCAGACUAGAGUGUGGUAGGGGAGACUGGAAUUCCUGGUGUAGCGGUGAAAUGCGCAGAUAUCAGGAGGAACACCAAUGGCGAAGGCAGCACUCUGGGACGGUACUGACGCUGAGGAGCGAAAGCGUGGGGAGCGAACAGG